rnacentral:tRNA from 1 species
UGGCUCAGAUGGUAAAGCAUCUGCCUGCAAUGCAGGAGAUCCAGGUUCGAUCCCUGG